AGAUACUGGUGUUAUUGCUGGAAGCGUCGUAGGUUCUAUUCUUCUGGUCAUAUUAGUUAUCAUUGUUGUUGUCGUCAUAUUAAAACGAAAGAAGGGCAUAUGUUACAAAGAAGAUGGUAUCUCCAACACAGUGUACGAAACACCGACUGGUUUCAACAACGACGCCUCGCCCUACACCGAUUUAACAGUGAGUAACCACAGUGGAAAUGGAGACCAGCCUAAAUAUGAAAAUGUCUUCCGUUUAGAUUAGCAAGAUCAUGGUGAUGCAACGGAUCAAAGUACUUUGUCCCUGUCCAUGUGUAUUACAUCUACUAUAAUUGGUUUACAGUGAUUGGCAAUAAUAAACUGCAAAUGCUUUGACUGUACUAAAGAAGCCCGACAUACGUCAUGCAGUGUGCUUUAUGGGACAUUUGGUGGGACAGCGGCGCUACGAUCUACUUUUAUAUCGAAUUCUAUAUGCUAAGGGUUCCAUGCCAGUGGUCGUGCUUUCGAUUCUCCACAUGAGCAUUCUGUCGUAUUUGAUCUACAUGCAAAUAUGUGAUAUGUUGUGUGAUCGUUCGUAUAUCUGGGGAGGCCUAGAUUGUUGUUCUGUCAUGUGGUGUUUCAUGUUUAAAUUUUUUGCCUGUGGACUUGGUAGUUUCAAAUUGC